GCAUCAGGAAAACUUGGACAUGGUCAUGGAUCCAGCAUAUUGGAAUUUUGAAAAAUGAAUUCACUCCAUGACUGAUUAAGGAUCUGGAGGGAGUGAAGGUUACAAGUGUUGCUGCUGGGAUUUUGCAUUCUGCUUGCAUUG